rnacentral:snRNA from 8 species
AUACUUACCUGGCAAGGGAGAUACCGUGAUCAAGAAGGCGGUUCACCCAGGGCGAGGCUCAGCCAUUGCACUCCGGCUGUGCUGAC